rnacentral:rRNA from 1 species
CUGGAGGUAUCAGAAGUGCGAAUGCUGACAUAAGUAACGAUAAAGCGGGUGAAAAGCCCGCUCGCCGGAAGACCAAGGGUUCCUGUCCAACGUUAAUCGGGGCAGGGUGAGUCGACCCCUAAGGCGAGGCCGAAAGGCGUAGUCGAUGGGAAACAGGUUAAUAUUCCUGUACUUGGUGUUACUGCGAAGGGGGGACGGAGAAGGCUAUGUUGGCCGGGCGACGGUUGUCCCGGUUUAAGCGUGUAGGCUGGUUUUCCAGGCAAAUCCGGAAAAUCAAGGCUGAGGCGUGAUGACGAGGCACUACGGUGCUGAAGCAACAAAUGCCCUGCUUCCAGGAAAAGCCUCUAAGCAUCAGGUAACAUCAAAUCGUACCCCAAACCGACACAGGUGGUCAGGU